rnacentral:lncRNA from 1 species
UGGGUAGAUCAUUUAUACCUUGAGAUUUUUCUUAUUUUUCUUCACCUUUCUCAUCCUGUUUGUCUUCAUGUUCUUCAUCAUCUUGAAUGGUUGAAUCUUUUAGAGUGAUCUCCUUCAUCCCUUCUAUAAGAGGAUCUGCAUCAUCAAUACCUUCAUUCUUCCUUGAAGGAAGAUCAUUAGUUUCAUCAAAGAUAACAUGUAUUGACUCCUCUACUACUAAGGUUCUUUUGUUGAAAACUCUAAAGGCUUUACUAGAAGA